UUCUACAGUCUAACCCGAGACGGACCAGGCUGUUUGAAACCCUAAACCCUACAGAGGAAAACUUGCGAGUAUUCGGAAGGGACUGGGAGUCUUUCGCGCAUAAUUGAUAAUUACUUGUAAAGACCCAAGCUCGUCGGCUCGGCCUCAGGCCUUGCACGAACGGCUUUUCUUUUCUUCUUCUCACCUGCAACACAACAAGGGUUUAGGGUGAGGUUAGUACAAAGUGAAGAGAGGAAGCUCGAGUGGAGAAGGAGGAGAGCGGCGACCUAGAGAGAGAUAGAGAGGGAGAGCAGCUGGAAGAGGAAAGCGUCGCGGAUGCCGAAGCUCAGAGAUAGGAAAAGAAGGAAGAAUCGCGGGAAAGGGAGGCGUAGUUUUGAGGAAACUGAGAGUGAGUGGAAAAUCGGGGGCAAACUGGGAGCCUUAUCGAAUCUCUGACCACCUGCUGCGGCGAGUCGCGAUUUUCGGGUUCGAGAACGGGGGUGAGAAAGAACCACAAAUUUGAUUAGUAGAUUCAACAUACAUUGGAUCAUCUCGUACAUGUUUAAAUGGAGAAAACAACGUAACUGCUUCCUGCUAAUCAGGGAGCAUGAUCCAGGCACGACAGACGGUUUAGAAAAGGAAAAUAACUCUUAGAGGAACUGCUUAGAGGUCAUGGGAAACUGCUCUGCAACUGCUUGGAGGACGGUUGCUGGAGGACAGUUGGUUCUUGGCUAGAUGUCUCCUAUCUCGCAUAUCUGGGUUUGGGUACAGGUUGCAGCUCUGAUUUCCGUGGUUUAUCAUGCUCUCUGUCAAGCUGAAACUUCAAUCUUCAGUAGAGGUUUGAGGACCCAGUUUAGGAACCGAAAUUCGCAAGGAUUGAUCAAUUUAUGGAAUCUGUUUCAGGCCAGUAAAACGGUGAGAAUUAGGUUAGUUUUCAUUCGGAGAUUUCAUGAUUUUAUAAAAUGGUUUAUUGAUUUUAAAAUAAUUAUUUAAAAUUGAUAGAUUACUUAAAAAUUAUGUUUUGGUGUAUUUUCUGAAAAAUUCAGCAUAUGUAUGUGGACUGUACGUGAAUGGUUUUCUGCGAUUUGUAUAUUGAUGCUGGUAUGUUUAAUCACAUGCGGAAUUGUAUGGAUAUAUGUCACUCUGUGUGUAUGUGCAUGUAUGAGUAUUUAUUUCUAUGUGUGUGAUUAUAUGUAUUUAAUUGUAAAAGAUAAUUUGUGUAUAUGUAUAUAUAUGCAUUUGCAAAUCUGUAUGAAAAUAAAUAUUACGUGUGGUUUGUAUGUAUGAUUUUAUAUGUAAUAUGCAUAGGUAUAGAUUAUAUGUACAUUGCUGUGUGUGUAUGUAUAUGUGAUGUGAAGGAUGUGUAUACACGUACAAAUUAUGUGUAAAAUGUAUAUGCGAAUAAAGUAUGUAACUGUAUGUAUGUGGGAAUAUGUAUGUAUGUUAUUUAAUGUUUGAACAUGCAUGUAUUUAAAUGGUGUAUGUAAAUGUGAGCAUUAUGUAUACGAGUUAUAUGUGGAAUAUGUUAGCAUUUUGGGUAUAUAUGUAAAUAUGCAUUAGAAUAAGGAAUCAGGUACAAAGGAAUCAAAACAAAAAUAAAACAAAAGAAUCUUUUAAAAGACGAGAAAAUCCGUUUAACAAGUAUUAGAAGAGGGAGGAUGUAUGAGUAGAGAUCUUUGGUGAACCCUAUAGUAGAUACGGUUUCAAUCAGACGUGACUGGGAAGUCCAUACCAGACAUCGUGGUUGGGUAUCUUUUAUCUAGUACCCAUAGCCCUUUGGGGAAUGAGGGUUUGUUAUCUAUUAUUUGUGAUCUGUUAUUUGGUACCAAUAACCCUCUAGGAAAUGGGGGUCUGUUAUCUGUUAUCUGGUAUUCAUCGCCAUUCGGAGGGUGAGAGUCUGUUAUCUGUUUGAGUAUCCACAUGUAGAGGGGAUCCUUUUUGUUGUUGAUGAUACUGACAAUAAAACGGUAUCGCGAAAUGAAAUUUUAAAAUAAGUAAAAGAAUGAUGUUUAAAUAACUGAAAAUUGUGUAUAUUUGAAUUGUGUUUGUGAUUUUGAUAAAUGUAUUUGUAAUUGUAUUUGUAAUUUUGAAAAGUGUUAUGUGAGUUUGAAUUGAGAAUAUUUGUAAUGUCGAGAAAUGAUGGUGGAAAUGUGGAAUCGGAUAUGUAAGGACAAAGAAAUUGCUCUUUGAAUAUGGAAUAUGAGAUUGA